rnacentral:rRNA from 1 species
UACAGAGGUGGCAAGCGUUGUUCGGAAUUACUGGGCGUAAAGGGCGCGUAGGCGGCCUUCUAAGUCAGACGUGAAAUCCCCCGGCUUAACCUGGGAACUGCGUCUGAUACUGGAAGGCUUGAGUGCGGGAGAGGGAUGUGGAAUUCCAGGUGUAGCGGUGAAAUGCGUAGAUAUCGGGAGGAACACCAGUGGCGAAGGCGGGUCUCUGGACAGUUCCUGACGCUGAGGCACGAAGGCCAGGGGAGCAAACGGG